CUGGCUCAGAUUGAACGCUGGCGGCAUGCUUUACACAUGCAAGUCGAACGGUAACAGGGGCUUCGGCCUG
rnacentral:rRNA from 1 species